GCUUGGAUGGCUUAGUUGGUUAAAGCGUCGGUCUCAUAAUCCGAAGGUCGCGAGUUCGACUCUCGCUCCGAGCA